GACGAACGCUGGCGGCGUGCUUAACACAUGCAAGUCGAACGGAAAGGCCCUGCUUGCAGGGUACUCGAGUGGCGAACGGGUGAGUAACACGUGGGUGAUCUGCCCUGCACUUCGGGAUAAGCCUGGGAAACUGGGUCUAAUACCGGAUAGGAGCCAUUCUUAGUGUGAUGGUUGGAAAGUUUUUUCGGUGUAGGAUGAGCUCGCGGCCUAUCAGCUUGCUGGUGGGGUAAUGGCCUACCAAGGCGGCGGCGGGUAGCCGGCCUGGGAGGGUGGACGGCCACAUUGGGACUGGGAUACGGCCCAGACUCCUACGGGGGGCAGCAGUGGGGAAUAUUGCACAAUGGGCGGAAGCCUGAUGCAGUGACGCCGGGUGGGGGAUGACGGCCUUCGGGUUGUAAACUCCUUUCGCUAGGGACGAAGCUGUUUGUGACGGUACCUAGAUAAGAAGCACCGGCUAACUACGUG
rnacentral:rRNA from 1 species